rnacentral:piRNA from 1 species
UGCUUAAACAGCCUAUGGAAUUCUUCCUCU